rnacentral:rRNA from 1 species
GGCGGGGGGUAGCUUGCUACCUGCCGGCGAGUGGCGAACGGGUGAGUAAUACAUCGGAACGUGCCCUGUAGUGGGGGAUAACUAGUCGAAAGACUAGCUAAUACCGCAUACGACCUGAGGGUGAAAGUGGGGGACCGCAAGGCCUCAUGCUAUAGGAGCGGCCGAUGUCUGAUUAGCUAGUUGGUGGGGUAAGGGCCCACCAAGGCGACGAUCAGUAGCUGGUCUGAGAGGACGAUCAGCCACACUGGGACUGAGACACGGCCCAGACUCCUACGGGAGGCAGCAGUGGGGAAUUUUGGACAAUGGGGGCAACCCUGAUCCAGCAAUGCCGCGUGUGUGAAGAAGGCCUUCGGGUUGUAAAGCACUUUUGUCCGGAAAGAAAUCGCACUGGUUAAUACCUGGUGUGGAUGACGGUACCGGAAGAAUAAGGACCGGCUAACUACGUGCCAGCAGCCGCGGUAAUACGUAGGGUCCAAGCGUUAAUCGGAAUUACUGGGCGUAAAGCGUGCGCAGGCGGUUGUGCAAGACCGAUGUGAAAUCCCCGGGCUUAACCUGGGAAUUGCAUUGGUGACUGCACGGCUAGAGUGUGUCAGAGGGAGGUAGAAUUCCACGUGUAGCAGUGAAAUGCGUAGAGAUGUGGAGGAAUACCGAUGGCGAAGGCAGCCUCCUGGGAUAACACUGACGCUCAUGCACGAAAGCGUGGGGAGCAAACAGGAUUAGAUACCCUGGUAGUCCACGCCCUAAACGAUGUCAACUAGUUGUUGGGGAUUCAUUUCCUUAGUAACGUAGCUAACGCGUGAAGUUGACCGCCUGGGGAGUACGGUCGCAAGAUUAAAACUCAAAGGAAUUGACGGGGACCCGCACAAGCGGUGGAUGAUGUGGAUUAAUUCGAUGCAACGCGAAAAACCUUACCUACCCUUGACAUGCCACUAACGAAGCAGAGAUGCAUUAGGUGCUCGAAAGAGAAAGUGGACACAGGUGCUGCAUGGCUGUCGUCAGCUCGUGUCGUGAGAUGUUGGGUUAAGUCCCGCAACGAGCGCAACCCUUGUCUCUAGUUGCUACGAAAGGGCACUCUAGAGAGACUGCCGGUGACAAACCGGAGGAAGGUGGGGAUGACGUCAAGUCCUCAUGGCCCUUAUGGGUAGGGCUUCACACGUCAUACAAUGGUGCAUACAGAGGGUUGCCAAGCCGCGAGGUGGAGCUAAUCCCAGAAAAUGCAUCGUAGUCCGGAUCGUAGUCUGCAACUCGACUACGUGAAGCUGGAAUCGCUAGUAAUCGCGGAUCAGCAUGCCGCCGGUUUGCCC